rnacentral:rRNA from 1 species
UACGGAGGGGGCGAGCGUUAUUCGGAAUUAUUGGGCGUAAAGGGCGCGUAGGCGGCCUGGUCAGUCGAAGGUGAAAUCCCCGAGCUCAACUUGGGAACUGCCUUCGAUACUGCCGGGCUUGAAUCCGGGAGAGGGAUGUGGAAUUCCAGGUGUAGCGGUGAAAUGCGUAGAUAUCUGGAGGAACACCGGUGGCGAAGGCGGCAUCCUGGACCGGUAUUGACGCUGAGGCGCGAAAGCCAGGGGAGCAAACGGG